rnacentral:miRNA from 1 species
AUCCCCAAGUGGCUUGCUG